rnacentral:lncRNA from 1 species
CUCGGGCAAGCUGGGGCUUCAGGAGUUCCAGAUCCUGUGGAAAGAGAUCAACAAAUGGGCGGCAUUAAGUUGAACAAUGAGGUGGUGGAGGUGCUGGCGGCUCGAUAUGCAGACGACAACCUGACCCUGGACUUGGACAACUUCCUCUGCUGUUUCCUGAGGCUCAAGGCUGUGUUCAGUGAGUGGGGCACCAGCCUAGCCCCUACCCCGGCCCUGGGGAGCCACAGGAGCCACACAACCCACCUUUUGUUGGGCUGUAACUGUCCGGGGCCUCCAUCCCCCUGGAUCAAAUGCGAGUGGCAGUGGGAGUGGCCCCCAGGACUGAGGAGUGGAGCAGAGCACUGCGCCCUGGGCUGGGAGCCCCAACUGGUUCCAGGCGAGAUGAGCUGUACUGGGGGUGCAUGCGGGCUGGAUCUGGGGGUGAGAGCAGCAGGACUGCCGUGUCUAACCCUUCCGACCUGGGAGUGGGCCCUGCAGACCUGGACUCCGCUCUCAGCCCGUGCCCGGCUGCCUCUCUAACACAGCCUUUGUUCUAACCAUGGACCCCAAGAACACCGGCUAGAUCCGCUUAAACCUGGAGCAGGUGUGUGGGGAUGCCAGGAGGGGUGUCCGGGUCUCCCCCCAGGCUACUGCUGUUGCCCACCUGCCCCUGCCACCCCACCCUUCAGCCUGCUCUUGUCUCCACAGUGGCUGCAGAUAACUCUGUGAGGGGAGCCAGCUCCCCCUGCCUGCAGGGUCUGAGGGCCAGGUGCUCGGUGCCACCCUAGGGCCAGGUCCCUGCAGAGGGCAUGGGCUCCACAUGCCAAAGUUACUCCAUGCCUGCCCUCCCAGCUCAAAUCCCCCUCUCCCCACCCCUGCCAGGCUUCUAGUGCCUGGGUCGGCCCCACGGGCUUGAGCUCUUUCUGAAUCUGUUUUACUAAAAAUUAAGUGACACUUCCCCAGCAUCCCCUGUCCACACCCACCUGCGCCUGGCACUCACCCCCUCACCUGUGGACAGUACUGUAAUAAAUGCCGCCUGCCACCCAUUCCCCAGUUCUGUGUCUCCAUGCUAUGAAAAGACAAGAGCAAAGAGGGGGGUCCCGUCGCUCUCAGAGGAAGGGGAUAGCACCU